GACGAACGCUGGCGGCGUGCUUAACACAUGCAAGUCGAACGGAAAGGCCCUGCUUUUGUGGGGUGCUCGAGUGGCGAACGGGUGAGUAACACGUGAGUAACCUGCCCUUGACUUUGGGAUAACUUCAGGAAACUGGGGCUAAUACCGGAUAGGAGCUCCUGCUGCAUGGUGGGGGUUGGAAAGUUUCGGCGGUUGGGGAUGGACUCGCGGCUUAUCAGCUUGUUGGUGGGGUAGUGGCUUACCAAGGCUUUGACGGGUAGCCGGCCUGAGAGGGUGACCGGCCACAUGGGGACUGAGAUACGGCCCAGACUCCAACGGGAGGCAGCAGUGGGGAAUCUUGCACAGUGGGCGGAAGCCUGAUGCAGCAACGCCGCGUGCGGGAUGACGGCCUUCGGGUUGUAAACCGCUUUCGCCUGUGACGAAGCGUGAGUGACGGUAAUGGGUAAAGAAGCACCGGCUAACUACGUG
rnacentral:rRNA from 1 species